rnacentral:tRNA from 1 species
UCUCUGGUAGCUUAGAGGGUAAAGAAUCUGCCUGCAAUGCAGGAGAUCCUGGUUCCAACCCUGGGUUGGGAA